UUUUUACAGCACCUAUAGUACUAACCGCUCGAGAAUCAUUCGCCAGUUCGCUUGGACAUUUACAGAAUAGGAACAUUAGUUGUGAUUCCAGAGGACAGGCUCCUAAAGCCAGGUUUUUGUAUGGAGAGAACAUACCCCCACAAGAUGCAGAAGUAGGUCAUCGAAAUCCCUUGAAACAAUCUAACAAAACUAAACGGGUAAGUUAUUUUUGAUUUGCUUUGAUCAAGGUGGUACUGAAGCCUUUAUUUCCCAGUGGUUACUUAAUUUUUCAAAACAUUUUUAGUCGUGCCCAUUUGGAAGAGUCCCAGUUAACCUUCUAAAUAGCCCAGAUUAUCACAUGAAGACAGAUAAUUCAGCUGUGCCAAGUUUUACAAAAAGACAGAUCUCUGGAUCAGAAUGCCGAGAUUUGAAUGUGCCUGGAUCAGAAUGCCGAGAUUUGAAUGUGGCUGUAUCUAAACUAAGUGGAAAGGAUUCCCACGAAAG
rnacentral:lncRNA from 1 species